rnacentral:sRNA from 1 species
UAUGUACCAGUUACUAGGACCUACACGA